AUGUUUGCCAUCUGGAGCUUUGAUGGGGAGGAUGUGUACAAGAAAAUUGUGGAUGCCACAAAUAAUUUCAGCAACGUUCAUUGCAUUGGGAUUGGAGGAAAUGGAUCUGUCUAUAAAGCUCAGUUACCAACAGGUGAAAUAUUUGCAGUGAAGAAGAUCCACAUGGGAGAAGAUGGUGAGCAAUUUAACCGUGAAAUACAUGCGUUAAUGCAUAUUCGACAUCGCAACAUCGUGAAGUUAUUUGGUUACUGUUCUGGAACUCAGGGAAGAUUCCUUGUGUAUGAGUACAUGGAUAGAGGAAGCUUAGCAGCAUCCUUGAAAGGCAAUGAAACUGCAAUUGAAUUGGAUUGGAUCACUAAAAUACUAGAUGUGGAUGCAUCGAACUGCACAAAUCUUGCUGGGACAAAAGGAUAUAUUGCCCCAGAGCUUGCAUACACAACAAGGGUGACAGAGAAGUGCGAUGUUUAUAGCUUCGGAGUGCUUGUUCUAGAGCUGUUCAUGGGACAACAUCCAGGGGAUCUCUUUUCAUCCAUGGACAACAGCAACAGAAAUACAUCACUUGACAACUUGCUGGACACCCGUCUCCCACUCCCUGAAGCUGAGAUCGCACGUGAGAUAUUUCAUAUGGUUGCCAUCGCUGUUCGGUGCAUAGAGCCUGAUCCAUCGCACCGUCCAACGAUGCAGGAAGUGAUCACGGUGUUCACAAGAGCUGAACGGUCACCUGUUAAUAAUCUUGAUUAUCUCCACACUGCCAUUUUCAUCCCGGCAUGCUGGUCUUGA
rnacentral:rRNA from 1 species